GCCUUUUACAAGUCAACGCUACAAAGAGGCUGUUGGAAAAUCUUACCAAAGAAUUACACUGUUUGUCUGCACCAUUGAGGGCUUCUUGUCAGAAAUACAUAUACCAACAUUUAUGCACCUGUCAUCAUUGACAGCAGUUCUUCAGAAGCUGAGGUAGAGGACUUUCCAAAGGAAGACAGUGAUGAACCUGAUGGACUAACGGCUGCAGAUGUCAUCUCAAAUCUGUCUCUGAAGAUUAACAAAACUUCCUGUAGCAGAUUCAACAUUAACCGAGCUAAUGUCUGGGACGGUGCCUAUAGAGGCUUCAGGCGCUCUACAUAU